rnacentral:rRNA from 1 species
CCUACGGGUGGCAGCAGUGAGGAAUAUUGGUCAAUGGGCGCGAGCCUGAACCAGCCAUGCCGCGUGAAGGAUGACUGCCCUACGGGUUGUAAACUUCUUUUAUAAAGGAAUAAAGCGCGGCACGUGUGUCAUUUUGUAUGUACUUUACGAAUAAGGAUCGGCUAACUCCGUGCCAACAGCCGCGGUAAUACGGGGGAUCCGAGCGUUAUCCGGAUUUAUUGGGUUUAAAGGGAGUGUAGGUGGGUCGGUAAGGUAGUGGGGAAAUUGUGCGGCUCAACCUUGAAAUUGCAAUUGAUACUGGCGGUCUAGAGGACAGUUGAGGUAGGCGGAAUUCGUGGUGUAGCGGUGAAAUGCUUAGAUAUCACGAAGAACACCGAUUGCGAAGGCAGCUUACUAAACUGCCACUGACGUUGAGGCACGAAAGCGUGGGGAGCAAACAGGAUUAGAUACCCCAGUAGUC